GACGAACGCUGGCGGCGUGCUUAACACAUGCAAGUCGAACGAAGUGGAGAACGGGUGAGUAACGCGUAAUCACCCUGCCCUUCAGAGGGGGACAACAGUUUGAAACGACUGCUAAUACCGCAUACUGAAGGAGGGGAUUGCGUCUGAUUAGAUGGAUGUAGUGGUAAUGUCACACCAAGGCGAGGAUCAGUAACCUGGCUUAGAUGAUGAACGGCCACAUUGCACCUUAGACACGGUCCAGACUCAGAGGUGAGGCAGCAGUGGGGAUGCUUCCACAAGGGACGAAAUGCUGACGGAGCACCGCCGCGUGAGUGAUAAGGGCCUUCGGGUUUUAAAGCUCUGUUAUUUGGGAAGCGGUACCGGUAUAGAAAGCCACGGCUAAUUACGUGCCAGCAGCCGCGUUAAUA
rnacentral:rRNA from 1 species